rnacentral:tRNA from 1 species
GCGCUGUUAGCUCAGUUGGAAGAGCCGGGAACUCUAAAUUCCUGUGAGUCGUCGGUUCGAGCCCGACACAGCGCACCA